GCCCAGAUGGCGAAAUUGGUAGACGCGCAUGGUUGAGGGCCAUGUGACCUUACGGUCGUGCAAGUUCGAUUCUUGUUCUGGGCA
rnacentral:tRNA from 2 species